rnacentral:ncRNA from 1 species
CGUCUUCGGGGCGGGGCGAAAUUCCCCACCGGCAGUUAUAGCCUGCGAGCCUUAUGGCAUGAUUGGGUGCAAUUCCCAAGCCGACAGUACAGUCUGGAUGAGAGAAGAUU